AGCGAACGCUGGCGGCAGGCCUAACACAUGCAAGUCGAACGAACUCUUCGGAGUUAGUGGCGGACGGGUGAGUAACACGUGGGAACGUGCCUUUAGGUUCGGAAUAACUCAGGGAAACUUGAGCUAAUACCGGAUGUGCCCUUCGGGGGAAAGAUUUAUCGCCUUUAGAGCGGCCCGCGUCUGAUUAGCUAGUUGGUGAGGUAAAGGCUCACCAAGGCGACGAUCAGUAGCUGGUCUGAGAGGAUGAUCAGCCACAUUGGGACUGAGACACGGCCCCAACUCCUACGGGGGGCAGCAGUGGGGAAUCUUGCGCAAUGGGCGAAAGCCUGACGCAGCCAUGCCGCGUGAAUGAUGAAGGUCUUAGGAUUGUAAAAUUCUUUCACCGGGGACGAUAAUGACGGUACCCGGAGAAGAAGCCCCGGCUAACUUCGUG
rnacentral:rRNA from 1 species